rnacentral:rRNA from 1 species
CACACAACUUCGGAACGAU